rnacentral:rRNA from 1 species
AGGACGAACGCUGGCGGCGUGCUUAACACAUGCAAGUCGAGCGGAAAGGCCCUUCGGGGUACUCGAGCGGCGAACGGGUGAGUAACACGUGAGCAACCUGCCCUUAGCUCCGGGAUAGCUCCGGGAAACCGGAAUUAAUACCGGAUAUGACCUAGGCCGACAUCGGCUGUGGUGGAAAGUUUUUCGGCUGGGGAUGGACUCGCGGCCUAUCAGCUUGUUGGUGGGGUAAUGGCCUACCAAGGCGACGACGGGUAGCCGGCCUGAGAGGGCGACCGGCCACGACUGGGACUGAGACACGGCCCAGACUCCUACGGGAGGCAGCAGUGGGGAAUCUUGCGCAAUGGGCGAAAGCCUGACGCAGCGACGCCGCGUGGGGGAUGAAGGCCUUCGGGUUGUAAACCCUUCAGCAGGGACGAAGCGAAAGUGACGGUACCUGCAGAAGAAGCGCCGGCUAACGUACGUGCCAGCAGCCGC